rnacentral:rRNA from 1 species
AAUACCGCAUUAUAUCUGUGGAUUAAAGGUGGCUUUCGGGCUGUCGCAGAUGGAUGAGCCUGCGUUGGAUAAGCUAGUUGGUGGGGUAAGGGCCCACCAAGGCUACGAUCCAUAGCUGAUUUGAGAGGAUGAUCAGCCACAUAGGGACUGAGACACGGCCCAAACUCCUACGUGAGGCAGCAGGGGGGAAUAUAGGACAAUGGGGGCAACCCUGAUCCAGCAAUGCCAUGUGUGUGAA